UACAGAGGUCUCGAGCGUUGUUCGGAUUCAUUGGGCGUAAAGGGUGCGUAGGUGGCGCUGUAAGUCGGGUGUGAAAUCCUGAGGCUUAACCUCGGAACUGCAUCCGAUACUGGCGGGCUUGAAUCCGGGAGAGGGAUGUGGAAUUCCAGGUGUAGCGGUGAAAUGCGUAGAUAUCUGGAGGAACACCGGUGGCGAAGGCGGCAUCCUGGACCGGUAUUGACGCUGAGGCGCGAAAGCGUGGGGAGCAAACAGG
rnacentral:rRNA from 1 species